rnacentral:rRNA from 1 species
GUCUACGGCCCAUGCCCACCCUGAAUGUUGCCCCGACCUCAUCUCAUCUCGGAAUCUAGAAGGGUUAAUACUCCGGUUAGUACUUGGUUAGUACUUGGAUGGGAGACUACCCAGGAAUACCAGGUGCUGUGGGCG